CGGACGUCUUGAUAUCGGAUUGAACAGAAAUGCAGAGAGACUUUCUAAACAGGAAAAUAUGAACGAAAGUCUGAGAAGCGGAUUCCCACCAAACAACAGGUGACCUUGUGGUUUGUUGGAAGUAAAGUUGGCGAGCUGCCC